AACGAACGCUGGCGGCAGGCUUAACACAUGCAAGUCGAACGCCCCGCAAGGGGAGUGGCAGACGGGUGAGUAACGCGUGGGAACGUGCCCUUCGCUUCGGAAUAGCCCCGGGAAACUGGGAGUAAUACCGAAUACGCCGUAUUGGGAAAGAUUUAUCGGCGAAGGAUCGGCCCGCGUUAGAUUAGCUAGUUGGCGGUGUAAUGGACCACCAAGGCUACGAUCUAUAGCUGGUCUGAGAGGAUGAUCAGCCACACUGGGACUGAGACACGGCCCAGACUCCUACGGGAGGCAGCAGUGGGGAAUCUUGGACAAUGGGCGCAAGCCUGAUCCAGCCAUGCCGCGUGAGUGAAGAAGGCCUUAGGGUUGUAAAACUCUUUCGCCGGAGAAGAUAAUGACGGUAUCCGGAGAAGAAGCCCCGGCUAACUUCGUGCCAGCAGCCGCCGUAAUAC
rnacentral:rRNA from 1 species